UACGGGGGAGCAAGCGUUGUUCGGAUUUACUGGGCGUAAGGGGCGCGUAGGCGGCGUGAUAAGUCACUUGUGAAAUCUCCGGGCUCAACUCGGAACGGCCAAGUGAUACUGUCGUGCUAGAGUGUGGAAGGGGCUACUGGAACUCUUGGUGUAGCGGUGAAAUGCGUAGAUAUCAAGAGGAACACCUGCGGCGAAGGCGGGUAGCUGGGCCAACACUGACGCUGAAGCGCGAAAGCUAGGGGAGCGAACGGG
rnacentral:rRNA from 1 species